UGAUGUAAUUGAAAUGCACACUGUACAAGCUUUAUGUGCAUUAAUCAAGCUUAAGCAAAUUUAAAUACAAACUAAAACAUUAAUAUAUACUAAUAUAUGAGUAAAAACACUUAUUUACAAAAACUUACAUGGAUUACGGAGCUAAAUGGUAGAGAUAAAGAGUUUGUUUGGAGGAAAGAAAGAGGUGGAAUAUUUUAAUGUUAGGGG
rnacentral:lncRNA from 1 species